rnacentral:lncRNA from 1 species
GAAAGAAACAAAGAUGAUUUAAGGCAAACCGAGGCUGUCUCUUUCCCUAGCGGAGCCCCACGAUGUUCUAUGCUGUGUGCAUGUGAGCCGGGAGGAGGCCUGUCUGUCGGUCUGCUUUUCUCGUCCCCUGACAGUGGGCUCCAGAAUGGGGACCUUGCUACUCAUGGUUGAUGAGGCACCUUUGAGUGUGGAGUGGAGGACUCCAGAUGGCAGGAACCGGCCCAGCCAUGUCUGGCUCUGUGACCUGCCUGCUGCCUCUCUCAAUGACCAGUUGCCCCAGCACACGUUUCGUG